rnacentral:lncRNA from 1 species
GCGCUAAUCAGCACUCUGUAAAAACAGACCAAUCAGCACUCUGUAAAACAGACCAAUCAGCGCUCUGUAAAAUGGACCAAUCAGCAGGAUGUGGGUGGGGCCAAAUAAGGGAAUAAAAGCUGGCCACCCGGGCCAGCAGCAGCAACCUGCUCAGGUCCCCUUCCAUGGUGUGGAAGCUUUGUUCUUUCGCUGUUCACAAUGAAUCUUGCUGCUGCUCACUCUUUGGGUCCGCACUAGCUUUAUGAGCUGUAACGCUCACUGCGAAGGUCUGUGGCUUCACUCCUGAAGUCAGCAAGACCACGAACCCACCGGAAGGAGGAAACAACUCCGGAAGCACCACGUUUAAGAGCUGUAACACUCACUGCGAAAGUCUGCAGCUUCACUCCUGAAGUCAGCAAGACCACAAACCCACCGGAAGGAAGAAAUUCCAGACACAUCUAAACAUUGGAAGGAACAAACUCCAGACACACUAUCUUUAAGAACUGUAACACUCACCGCGAGGGUCUGUGGCUUCAUGCUUGAAGUCAGCCGGACCAAGAACCCACCGGAAAGAACCAAUUCCUGACACAAUCAGACAGAGAAUGCUGAUUCACUAUGCAGUGAAACAUGCCUAACGUGUCAACAGCUAAAUGCCCGGUGACAGUGUGGUUGUCUGGGCAACAGAAGAAGUCACCCACGCAAACACUUAAAGGACCAUACUUAUUUUACAAGAGGAACAGUUUUCAAUGGAAUGGAUAUUAAAACACACACCUGGAUCCCUUUACCACAGGUGCUUUGAGAGGCACCAUCAAGGACAGUGAGCUAACGCAGGUAACUCAGGUAACAGGGCGGUGAGCUAAUGCAGGUAACACAGGUGACAGAGUCAUGGGCUAAUACAGGUAACACAGGGUAGUGAGUUAACUCAAGUAAUAUAGCUAAGCCAGGUAACCCAGCUUACACAGCCAACACCUGGCAGUGGGCUAACACAGUUAACUCAGGUGCUCACCUCGGGCACAUCCCCAAGGCCCCUCGUGAGGUGGUCUGAUGGCUGUCUACAUGUGCCCCUGGACAUCUGUAUCCUGAUGCAGGGGAGCCUGGCAGGAGAGGGGACCCUCAGACUCUCCCUCAGCCACACAGGGCAGACAUCCUCCACGUGGCUUCAGCUGCAGCUGUCAAUUGAGUGGUGGGCAAGGCCAUGCUCUGGAUAGUCUACCUGGUCCUCGGUGAGGCCCAGCCCCACUGACAAGCAUUUGGGGUCUGUUUAAUUGCUCAGCCUGUCUGCUGCUAUUUGUCACAUGCUAGUAUUGGUGUGGCAGCUUCUUCU